CCUGUUUCUUUUUACUUUUUGAAUGCAGCUACUAGAAAAUUGUACAUUGCAGGUUGCUCACAUCAUACUUCUGUUGGACUGCACUAAUCUAGAGCUUUCUUUGGCUUUGUCAGGCCAGUUCAGGAUUUGCCAAAGGUUUUUUGAGGGAUUCACUUUGAAGGACUGAGCCUUGGGAAAUGGGCUUUGAGUGACUGACUUCAGACCCAAAGAGAUCCACAGGCAGUGAGAGAAGCCUUGAACUGUAGAAAUGUCCAGUAGUUAAUUGUUCAAUGUUAUGAUGCCAUGUCCUGGAAGGAUCCAUGGCUGUGUCAUGGCCUCAGGACUCUCCCUGGGAGAAGUCAGACAAGUCAUGAACCCCUGGUUCAUCCUAAUGCAUUUAGUUGUGAUGAGUUGGUCAGGCCUGGUUUCCACAAUGAAAGAAAAUGAGCUUAUGCUGUCCCAGUCACAAGAGACUGAGCGUGGGAGGGCACGUGGCGCAUCUCAUAUGUGCUUUUCAUGUUUAUUUAGUUUGUUUACUAAUGACUAGGAAUACACAGCUGGGAGGAGAAGCUCAGAAUUGCCAAAGACCUGCCAGCAGUCCAGAGUUUGGUUUUUCUUUGUCCCCUAAUGGAGGGGGACAAUCUGUGCAUUUAUGGACAAGGAUGGGAGGGUACAUUUGAAUUUUGCCCUUUAGAUUUCUGGGAAGGAAGAGAGGCAGAAUGUCACGUGGGCUACUGGAUAAUGCAUAUUGCUUUCCCCUCUCAGGAAGCUGACAAUGACAGAUCAUAAGCAGGUGGAAAGGGAGAAGCAGCUCUCAGGGGCAGAGAAGAAACUGAAAUUGGCUGCAGAAAAAACGCAGAACUACAAGCCACAAAUUGAAGAAAUGCGAGAACAGGUGGAGCGAGCAGAGUCCACUUUCAGACACCAGAUUGCUGCUCAUAAGAAGAUGGACCAAGACAACUGAAUUGGCAGUAAUCCAAAAAUGGAGGCUCCCAGAGGAAUACAGGAGGCAGAAUCCAAUCCUGGGAGGAUCAGACAGUCAGGACCCUCCUCAGAGAGGACCUGGUGCUGCAGCUCCCAUGCGGAACAGCUCCCCCCACGGAGGAGGAGGAUGAGGGCAAGGUCAAUAUGGCUGCAAGAACACAUGCUCCUUUCCCAGAAUUGCCCUAAAUGCCCUACCCAUGGGUUGCCCUUUACCGCUACUCAAGGGCUGUGGGCCACCUCCACCUCCUCCACACUAGCGGCCUCUGGGACUUCAACCAUUGGCACUACCUCUACCAAUUGGACAUGAAUCAUCCCUUUGUUGGAUCCCCAACCAUCAACACAGUCUGCUCCUGACAUCAGACCAUUGAUAUGGUCAUGGCUUAAUGAUCCUCCUCCUGAGUAUGAUCAGAAGGUCAAUACAGCCUAACGUCAUGUCACAAUGCCUAUGGCAUUCACCUCACUUCAUCUCAUCAGAUGCUGUUGGCUGCCUAAAGAGCCCCAGAGGUGGGCCGUCUUGGUUAUACAAGGAGGCACCAGUACAGAAGGCGUGGAAGUCGGACCAGCCCAGAAGAGAACAGGAGAGAGGUCCAGUCUGUAAGGGACCGGGGAAUUCCAUUAAGGAUGCCAAGGUCAUCCUCAUCAGCGCUGCAGUAGGGUUGAGGGGGAGAAGGAGAAGUGACAGAGGUUUGGGGCCUGGAACAGGGGAGAUCAUUCCUGCAACUGAGGAAGCGCUCACUCCCCAAAGCCAGUGUCAGCCUCCCAUGGAGGGGAGCCCUUCGUGGCCCCUGGAAGGCAGGCCAGGAGCCUUGGGCUCGAGACCCAGCUGUGCUGCUUUCCAGCUGUGUGACCCUGAGCAGGUUUCCUUCAUUAAAAUGGAAGCGUCCAUGCCUGCAUCCAAAGACUGUUAUAAGGACAAGAAGAAGUCACGUUCUGAACCCCUGUGCACAUCAGCAGCAUCAUCUCCCAGGGGAAUCUGUCCUCCCAGAACUGGUGCCUUGAAGGUGUGCAGCCAUUAAAGGCAUCAGUGACAACCAAAGGCCCCUUUUGUGGGCCUGUGCUAAGCACUGCACUGUGCAGGCGUCAUCUCAUGGGAUCCGGAGGUCGGUACCAUCUCUAUCCACCUUGCACACAUGGGGAAUCAGGUUGAGUGCGGGCAGGGAAAGGGCUGUACCCAGACUGAGAAAAGGGUCAGAGGGGACUUUGGUCUGGGAGGUGAUUUUGGGAGAGGGGGAGGCUGAGGCCUGGAGACCACAGAGGGAGAAGGGGCCAAUGAGAAGCUUUGCCCAGGGCCCAGCUUUGCUUGGGGUCUGCCCUGCUCAGACGAUGAGGCCAAACCAGCCAGCUAUGGUCACACCCCUUGCUCUUCGACCUGAGACUGACUGGUGGUGAUGAUAAUAUUGUCAUAUAAUAGUCCUGAUGAUGGCAUUAUUGUUAUUGUCAAUAUCGUCAAUAUUGUGGGAGAGUCCACUCUGAGGCAUGGCAGGGUCCUGGGGAGGUUUGCCUCUCUUCCUCUCUUCUCCUUGGGAUCUGCUAAGCCCCAUCCAAAACACUGUGCACACUGUCAGGGUCCCUGUCCCUACCCUGGGCCCCUGUCCCCAGAGCAACCCUGCCCUGGUCACUACUCUCUGGCAUCUCAGGACGCAGGCACAGCCAUCCAGAAGGCCCUGGCGUGAGGCAGAUCCCCAGCCCUUGCUUUGGAAUCAGGAAAACGCCCCCUUUCAUGACAGAUUAGGUGGGGCAGGUCAUGCCGGGGUCUAUUCAUCCUGUCUGCCUGCGGUGGCCUCCAUUGAGUGCCAGGGCUGUCUGUCUGUCUUGUGGGCUGGGAUAGGGGAUGAGGGUCGGGAGUGUGUGUGUGUUUGUGCAUGUGUGUUUGGCUGUGUAAUUCUGCAUUAUGGACCUGAGAGUCUGAGUUUCUGUGUCUGUGAGUAUAUUGACUGUGGACAUGAGUUUUCUGCUGUGUGACACUCUCUGUGUCUCUGUGUAUUUCUUUAUGCAUUUGUGUGUCUGUAUCUCUAAAUGAGUGUGUGUCAGUUGUGCAAAUCUCUGUGUGUGUCUCUGGGCAUGUGUGUCCCUGCUGGAGCAUCUGUGUCUGUAUUUUAUAUCUGUGUGUGUUGGUUGUGUGUGUGAAUUUGCUGCCCCUUUGGGUGUUCUUGAUUGUAUCUAAGUGUAUGUCUGUGUUCUCUGUGUGUGUGUCCAAUGUGUGUAGGGUUUGCCCUAUAGGGCUGUCUCAUGUGGCCCUAAGUGUGUGUGUCUGUGCGUGCAUAUGUUCUCCUCAAGGGUUGUUGCCUGUGUCUGCAGUGUGGGUCUGUGUGUGAGCCUGUCCCUGAGCCCUAUGCCUGAGUCCCCAGGUGAGGAUGGAGGUGAUUCCAUGCCUGUGCUUGUGAUGUCUUAUUUCCCUAGGAGUGUGUGUGUCUGUGCACCCCAGAAAAGGGCAGCUGCAGAGGGGAUUUCUCCAAGGGUGACCCUAACGGUGGGUGAGAAGGAGACAGUAUGUGCUUCUCCCACCCGCAGCCUCGGCCCCUUCUGCCUCUGCUCCUCCCAGCCUCUGCUUUUCCCCCUAGUGGUCCCAUCUCAGUCUCCAAGGAUGGACAGAGUGAAGGAUCAGUUCACAGAACCACAGGCCAGCGGGGCAGGAGGGCUCUGAAUGUCAGGAGGGUGUUAUAGAGUGUGAGGGGAAGGAUGUCGGGGGGGAUACUGGACCCCUGGGAAGGGCUGGGGGAUACCUGGGCCUUUGGAAGAGAUGAGCGGGUGGGCACAUAUCGGGGAAAGCUGAGGGGCAAAAGCUCCUGGGUAUGACUGAAGGACUGGGUACCUCUGGAGAGGUCUGGAAGAGUCCUACAGGACUCCUGGGUUCCCAGAGAGCAGGUCCCUCACUCACCCAUGUGGGACUUAGGCUGGGACCUAGGAGAGACUGGUGUCUGGGGCUGCUCAGAGCAUCUCUCCUGGACCUCUGUGUCUGGGCCAUCUACUGGGUGCACAGGGCC